UGAUAGCCUUGAGAGGCUAUUUCAGCUUC
rnacentral:sRNA from 1 species